CUUGCCCCUGUAGCCCGUUUAGAAACUGUAAGACUAAUCAUUUCUUUAAAAUUUUCAGGUUUAGUUUCAGCUCUUAUUUGAGCUAUAGUUUCAUAUGCAUUUUCACUAAAGUAUAGAUAACAACUAAAUUGUACAAGACACAAUAUGACUUGACAUUUAUCAAAAUAGCAGUAGGAACCGUUUGUAAAUCUUAGUCCCCAUAUAACUACUAUAUAAACCCAAAACCAAAUGGCUGAAAAGAAUGAAAACAGCACAUUAAUAAAUAUAUCGUCUUUGUUAUAGGUAAAGCUCACACUUGCAAAAUUCAAAAUAUCUUACAUAUAUUCACCAUUAGAAAUACAUCCAUAGAAGGAGAGUGCAUAUAUAUAAUAUAUAUCUUCAAACACAACAGUCUUUAUUUCACACGUAGCUAGCUAGAGCUUGCCAAUAUUGCCAAAUACUCAUCACACACAUAGAUAUAUAUGUGUAUUGACAUACGUAUAAAUGGCUAUAAGCCAUUGAAUAGCAUAGAUUAUAUUACUUGAGAAGGUGACCCUCUAUA
rnacentral:lncRNA from 1 species